AUGGUUUUGACUAACUUGAGGCAGAAAGUCAUACUUAAUUCUGUAUUUUCUUUAAACUAUUUUUGUAGUUCAGGAGCAGUUUUCAGCAGGCGGAGCGUUGUGGUUUACAGACCUCACUGCACCAGAUUCCACCUGGAUUUUGCCAAUUUCACUUGGGCUCAUGAAUUUGCUGAUAGUGGAGAUAUUUGCUUCGCAGAAAAUGAAAGUUUCCAGGUUCCAGAAGUUUGCUACGAAUUUCUUCCGAGUGGUGUCAGUAGUAAUGAUCCCUGUUGCCGCAACAGUCCCCUCUGUAAGUACAGAGCCCUAACGGUGUGUCCGUUAACCCGGGACUCUGGUGUGGUCCUCGUGCUUGAAGAGCACCCAAAUGCCUGCUGGAUUUAAUAGACCAUACUCUCUGUUACAGUAUGUCCUAAAUCAAAUAAGGUGUUUUGCCUAUGUAUGCGUUUAAAUUCUUAAAUGUGUUUGGAAUAUUUUUGUCCAAGAGGGAAGAAUCUGGAAACUUGCUGUUUCUAAACAUCAUUUUUGCAUUUUGUUUGGAAAGACCUUCAGAGCAGGUUAGCAUCCUUUUUGUCAUCUCAAAAACAACAGUAAAGCUUUAUACAAGCACACAUAGACAAAGGCUUGCUAAGUACUUGCGUACUGUAAGAGCAACACAGCGUAAUUCUUAGAUCAGGAAAUCUUCCACAAUCUUCUUAAGACACUUCUUUUUUUAACCAGGUGUUCUACGGCUGAAUAUUUUAGUUAGCAGUGGUUAGCAAAACCAAAUUAUCUAAUUGUUUGGAUUAUCAACCUAUAGUCUGAAAUAUAGAAGCUUAAGCAAGUUUAAUAUGAAUUAAUUUAUGAGCUGUUGUCAAACUUCGGUGUAGAUGACUUUUUUUUCCCCAGAAGAGUUGAGAGUGGAAAAUGCAUUUGAAAUGGAAGCCAUUAUUGUUUUUGAGAGAGUGGUUUUAGGUGAGUUAUAUUUCUCCGUAACGGAGCAGCCAGUGGUUGUGAAGAGCUGCCUGAAGUGGUAGCGUUUGCGUUGCGUCUGAGGCAGGUGUCUGUCUCUUUGCAGUCCAUGGCGCUGUACUGGCUGUGCUCCAGCUUCCUGGGACUCUCCCACAACCUCCUCCUGCGUUCUCCCGCCUUCCGCCGGCUGUGCUGCAUCCCCAGGACCACCUCCGACUCGGAUACGCCGUACAGGGAUAUCGUGUCUGCCUUGGCUGCCAGAUACAGUUUUAAGAAGUGACGUCAUUUUAACUGUCGGAAGAGCUGUCCAACAAACGGUGCACGGUUAAUUAAGUAGUGCUAUUUUAGCAAGAUGUACUUAUUUGCUGUAAAAUACUGGAGCUGGGAUUAUAUUUAUUUUCCAAAUAAAUCAUUGCCCACCUGGCCA
rnacentral:lncRNA from 1 species